GCGAGCGUUGUCCGGAUUUAUUGGGCGUAAAGAGCUCGUAGGCGGCUUGUUGCGUCGACCGUGAAAACCCGCGGCUUAACUGCGGGCUUGCGGUUGAUACGGGCGGGCUGGAGUUCGGUAGGGGAGACUGGAAUUCCUGGUGUAGCGGUGAAAUGCGCAGAUAUCAAGAGGAACACCUGCGGCGAAGGCGGGUUGCUGGGCUGACACUGACGCUGAAGCGCGAAAGCCAGGGGAGCGAACGGG
rnacentral:rRNA from 1 species